GUGCCAGCAGCCGCGGUAAUACGUAGGUGGCAAGCGUUAUCCGGAAUUAUUGGGCGUAAAGCGCGCGUAGGCGGUUUUUUAAGUCUGAUGUGAAAGCCCACGGCUCAACCGUGGAGGGUCAUUGGAAACUGGAAAACUUGAGUGCAGAAGAGGAAAGUGGAAUUCCAUGUGUAGCGGUGAAAUGCGCAGAGACAUGGAGGAACACCAGUGGCGAAGGCGACUUUCUGGUCUGUAACUGACGCUGAUGUGCGAAAGCGUGGGGAUCAAACAGGAUUAGAUACCCUGGUAGUCAAGGGCG
rnacentral:rRNA from 1 species